rnacentral:rRNA from 1 species
GAUGAGCGCUGGCGGCGUGCCUAAUACAUGCAAGUCGAGCGAACAGAUGAGGAGCUUGCUCCUCUGACGUUAGCGGCGGACGGGUGAGUAACACGUGGAUAACCUACCUAUAAGACUGGGAUAACUUCGGGAAACCGGAGCUAAUACCGGAUAAUAUAUUGAACCGCAUGGUUCAAUAGUGAAAGACGGUUUUGCUGUCACUUAUAGAUGGAUCCGCGCCGCAUUAGCUAGUUGGUAAGGUAACGGCUUACCAAGGCAACGAUGCGUAGCCGACCUGAGAGGGUGAUCGGCCACACUGGAACUGAGACACGGUCCAGACUCCUACGGGAGGCAGCAGUAGGGAAUCUUCCGCAAUGGGCGAAAGCCUGACGGAGCGACGCCGCGUGAGUGAUGAAGGUCUUCGGAUCGUAAAACUCUGUUAUUAGGGAAGAACAAAUGUGUAAGUAACUAUGCACGUCUUGACGGUACCUAAUCAGAAAGCCACGGCUAACUACGUG